rnacentral:lncRNA from 1 species
UUCCUCUCUUCAUUAUUCUUCUCUGCAAAUCUUCUUAUUACUUCAACCAUAUUCUCUGUCUCUUCACAACAUAUGGUAUCAGAGCCAUAUCACUAAAAUCAAAUAAAGAACAUCAAGAAACUGAGUUUUCUUGAAAAAGAAAAGCAAAGCAGAAAAGAUCAAUCAAUGACAACAGAAUCAAACAAUUUUGUGCAGGCAGCAAUACCAAGAUUUGAUGGUCAUUAUGACCAUUGGUCUAUGCUUAUGGAGAACUUUCUUAAGUCCAAAGAAUACUGGAGUCUAAUAGAAAAAGGGAUUGGUGCAGCAAGAGGAGAAGGAGCACAAUCAGCAGCACAACAGAAAGUAAUUGAAGAAGAAAAAUUGAAGGAUUUAAAGGUCAAGAACUACCUAUUUCAAGCCAUUGACAGAACCAUCAUUGAAACUAUACUCAAUAAGGAGACUUCAAAGGCCAUUUGGGAUUCCAUGAAACUGAAAUAUCAAGGAUCCACCAAAGUGAGACGUGCCCCAGUUACAAGCACUUAGAAGAGAAUUUGAAGUUCUUGGCAUGAAAGAAGGGGAAAAAGUUGAUGAGUACUUUACAAGAACAUUAACUAUUGCAAACAAAAUGCAAGUGCAUGGAGAAAGUAUGAAGCAGAAUGUAAUUGUUGAGAAAAUUUUAAGGUCAAUGACCUCAAAAUUCAAUUAUGUUGUCUGUUCUAUUGAAGAAUCUAAUGAUUCUUCAACCAUGUCAAUAGAUGAACUUCAAAGCAGUCUCCUAGUUCAUGAACAGAGGAUGCAAGGUCAGAAAGAAGAAGAGCAGGCUUUAAACAUUACUAAUUCAGAGAAAAUGGGAGGAAGAAUUGAAUACAGAACUGAAGGGAAGGAAAGAUUUCGUGGUGGUAUCAGGGGAAGGGGUCGAGGAAGGGGAAGACAGCCCUACAACAAAGCCUUGAUCCAGUGCUACAACUGCCAAAAACUAGGACAUUUUCAAUACGAAUGUCCUGUUAGAAACAGAAAUGACAGGAAUGCAUAUUUUGCAGAAGUAGAUGAGGAAGAAGAGAUGUUAUUAAUGGCCUACAAAGAUGAAGGGGAUCAUGAAGAUAUACAGCAAAAAGAAGAAGUUGUAUGGAUUCUUGACUCAGGUUGCAGCAAUCACAUGUGCAGCAACAAGGAAUGGUUUUUUGAAUUUGAUGACAAGUUUAGAAGAACUGUAAAGCUUGGAGACAAUUCAAAAAUGAUGGCUAUGGGAAAGGGACAUAUCAAGCUAAACAUCAAAGGAAUUACACAGGUAUUCACAGAGGUAUAUUUCAUACCUGAAUUGAAGAACAACCUCCUGAGCAUAGGCCAGCUGCAAGAAAAACAGUUAGCAAUUCUUAUCAAAGAUGACAAAUGUAGGGUUUAUCACCCUAAGAAAGGUUUGAUUAUGCAAUCUCAAAUGUCAUCUAACAGAAUAUUUCCCAUACUUGCUACUGUGAUAACUCCAAUGGCUAGUUGUCUACAAGCAACAUCUGAAGAUGUCACCAAUCUAUGGCACUGUCGAUAUGGGCAUCUAAGCCUCAAGGGGCUGAAAACCUUGGUUUCAAUGGAGAUGGUCAAGGGUUUACCUGCACUGAAUGACUCAUUAAAAGUCUGUCAAGAUUGCAUGAAAGGAAAGCAGCAUAGAGAGACAUUGCCAAAGAAAAGUCUGUGGAGAGCAUCCAAGAAACUACAACUUGUCCAUGCAGAUAUUUGUGGACCCAUUUCACCACAAUCAAACAGUGGGAAAAGGUACAUAAUCACUUUUAUAGAUGAUUAUAGUAGAAAAACUUGGGCAUAUUUUCUAUUACACAAAUCUGAAGCACUGUCUAUAUUCAAGAAAUAUAAAGUGAGUGUGGAAAAAGAAAGUGGUGAAAGAAUCAGUUGUUUAAGAACUGACAGAGGGGGAGAGUUCACCUCAAGUGAAUUUAAUGAUUUUUGCAGCACACAUGGAAUCAAGAGACAACUUACCACAGCAUACACCCCACAGCAGAAUGGGGUUGCAGAGAGAAAGAAUCGCACCAUAAUGAAUAUGGUGCGCAGCAUGUUGUCAGGGAAGGAAUUACCAAAGCAAUUCUGGGCAGAGGCUGUAAAUUGGUCCAUCUAUGUGAUAAAUAGAAGCCCCACCACAGCUGUUCCCAAUACUACUCCUGAAGAAGCUUGGAGUAACAGGAAGCCUAGUGUUGAGUGUUUCCGUGUGUUUGGAUGUGUGGCUUAUGCUCACAUACCUGACAAUCAACGCAAGAAGUUAGAUGACAAAAGUUUCAAAUGUGUGUGGUUAGGAGUAAGUGAAGAGUCUAAAGGGUACAGACUUUAUGACCCUGUGGGAAAGAAAAUCAUCACUAGCAGAGAUGUAGUAUGUGUGGAAAAUGAAAAGUGGGAGUGGGACAGAAGUGCAGAAGAGUUGAAGCAUAAAGAGUUAGAAUGGGCAGACAUUAAUGAGGAAGAAGACAGUGAGAUCAGUGGAGGUUUUGAAGGUGUAAACAGUCAUCCUGAACAUGCUGAUGGUGUGCACAAUGAUAACUCAUCAAGUAGUCUUGUAGAUAGUCUACCUGAUGGAAUAUCACAGAAUGACAAGCAAGAAAGGUGCAGAAGAAAACCAACCUGGUUAACAGAUUAUGUGACUGAUGAAGCACUAUCUGAAGGAGAAGAAGAGGGAGGACAUAAUCUUGCAAUGCUCAUCUCUACAGAGG